rnacentral:rRNA from 1 species
AGUGUAGGCGGCCGAUCAAGUCUGAUGUGAAAGCCUUACCGCUUACCGGAAGGAGGUCAUCAGAAACUGGUUGGCUAGAGUAAGGUAGAGGCGAGCGGAAUUCCUGGUGUAGCGGUGGAAUGUGUAGAUAUCAGGAAGAACAUCGGUGGCGAAGGCGGCUCGCUGGGCCUUUACUGACGCUGAGACUCGAAAGCGUGGGGAGCAAACGGGAUUAGAUACCCCGGUAGUCCACGCUGUAAACGGUGUGCACUAGGUGUGGAGGGUAUCGACCCCCUCUGUGCCGCAGCUAACGCAAUAAGUGCACCGCCUGGGGAGUACGGCCGCAAGGUUGAA